CGCAUUGGUGCCAUAGAGAAGGUUGGGCACACAGAAGAAGAAUGUUAGACGCUAAAGGAUGCUAAACUUGUGUCUCGUCUUUUUUGUAUCACAGGGUUUAGAAUCAUCAUCUGUAAGGAUUACAACACUGGAGUUUUAUCUGCUGCGCUUCAGUUCCUACCGUCAAUCUCGCCCCAAGCUAUGCUGACGACACUUCGACUCCUGAGGAAAAACCACUAAAGAUUUUACACAGAUCCAAAGGCGGAUUCAAGUGAAGCAACAGUCCUUUAACUUAGUGGGCUGCACCUCAUGCUAAUCCGAGUAAACAAGUCCGAUCGCCCGCAGUGACCAGACUCGGCUUCACCUGGUUAUAUAACGGGAAUACGACCAUUCGGACUAAAACCAAAGAAAGUUGGACGUCUUUAGAGAGACGCUGGCCUACAGCUGAAGGGCCGCCGCUCUGCAGCACACGCUGCCCUACAUACACUCUGACUGAACUUUCCUACCCAAUGCUUGGGAGGAAGUGGCGAAAAAGCAGCCGAGUCACGAGGACGCUAAAAGGAAUCCACAAGAAGCUUGUAGGUAUUUACUUUGUAUUUUCAAAGCUAAAUGUUCCAUAAUCUCUUUCAGAUUUUCUGUCGUAACCCAGAGGUUUUUUUUCUCCCCCUUCGGUUGUUUGCGUCACGUCUUUACGCCGCCUCUGACCUCAUUUCUGUCUGCAGCAAACCUCCAUUUAACAGGGCAAGCGGCUGCUCUCUGCUGUGUACACAAGAAACAAGAUGGCGGCGUACGGUACCUUACGUUCUGUUCGUCUCUUUCACUUUGCUUUGCUUUUCAUUAAGGCCGCCAAGUUGCUGUUUCUGUGAGUUUUUAACUCCGCGCCUUUCUCCAGAUCGUUGGACAUUUCUCCGUAACAUCAUCGAAAUGACGAUAAUGAAAACUCAACCGUUCUGCAAAUGAAAUAAUUUGACAAAAAUGAGCUCUGGUAGCGUGUUCCUCUCCUGUGUUUCUCUCGCUGUGAUUUUUUUUGUCUUUUCCAGCCCCCUGUUCUCUGCAGCAGGGCUCAUAAUAUCAGAUUGCACAGCCGGUCUUCGCCAAAUGUGAAUUUUAUACUCUAGUGAACACAGGCUUUACACUUUCAUUAGCUCACAUUCUCCUCAGCAGUGCAAAUGCCAUGUCGCUGGUUGGGGAGGGGGAGGGAGCGUUUUCACUGCGCCUCACAUGGCGGCGCAGGACUGCAGGGCGGGACGGGGAAAGCAUCCGGAUCGGACGCUUUCCCCCCGGGGUACGGAGGCUGCAUCCCAGCCGCUCAGAAAGGGACAGCUAAUGCAGAAUCUACCUCACUGAGCACAUAUGGACGAUGUGCAAACGAUGAAAGCAGAAAUACCAAACUGUUGUUGUGACAGGAUGAAUUUCUAUUCACAGAUCGUGUGUGUGUCAUGAACAAACUAUAUUAGUGCUGAGGAUUUAAUGCAGACCUUAUUAAUGGACUGAUAUUCUCCUUGGGACACGUUUACUUUUGAAUGAAAUGGUGAGGAAUAUUAGUAAACUAUGAGGAAAAUUAAUGGAGUUUUAAUGCAGUUACAUAUGAAAUUUGAACAACGGGGAUUCAUAUGUUUGAUAAUGUCCAAAACCUAAAGACACUAAUUUAACACCAAGCGGUGUUUAUUAAGUGUAUUAUGGGAUGUUUAGUGGCUAAAUGUUGCCUGGGGUUGAAAACAGAUUGUUUCUAUAGAAUUAAAGGAAUUUUUCCUCCUC